rnacentral:rRNA from 1 species
UACGAAGGGGGCUAGCGUUGCUCGGAAUCACUGGGCGUAAAGGGUGCGUAGGCGGGCCUUUUAAGUCAGGGGUGAAAUCCUGGAGCUCAACUCCAGAACUGCCCUUGAUACUGGCGGUCUCGAGUCCGGGAGAGGUGAGUGGAACUGCGAGUGUAGAGGUGAAAUUCGUAGAUAUUCGCAAGAACACCAGUGGCGAAGGCGGCUCACUGGCCCGGUACUGACGCUGAGGUGCGAAAGCGUGGGGAGCAAACAGG